CGAUAUUGUACAAAUGUUGGACAUGGACAGUGUUCAAAAGAUCAUAGAAAAGUAUUUUGAGCCUUGGAGAAAUCACCUCUAAUAUGAAGACUUGCAGCUAUGUGUCAAAUGCAAUUAAUUUGUGUGGUCUUCUGUGUUUCUUCUGUCUAAUUAUCAAUGCUCAAAGAAAGAAACAAGGAAAACACCUGCAAGACAGGCAGCUCCACAGAAGUGAUAUGUCUCCAAUAAACGUCGAUGCAUACUGGGCUUAUCGCAACGCGAUUGAAGCAAAAUCAAACCCUAGCCCAGUAAGAUGUGCGAAUUGUACCUGCCAUAGAGAAAAAGAUAUAGUAGUUGUGGAAGCGUGUGAGAUCAGAUCGGGGGUCAUUUUGGCUCAUAACAUAGAUGAAUCUCGUGUUGAUAUGACAAAACUUUUUACAGGCAACGAAAAAAGGAUUGAAAUUUUUAACACGACAAUUAAAACAAUUAUUGUUGACAAAAAGGAAACGAAGACGCGUUUUGAUUAUAUGAUGUUCAAAGAGAACUAUCGCCUGGCCCUCACCGAGCCUGAUUUCGGAAAAGUGCAAGUUGCUACUGUGUUGUUCAGAAUAAGAGCACUUAAAUUUUUAGAUCGAACAGCCCUUCAACAGAUUAAAGUCUUGCAGUUCUUCAGUAUGAAUUCUACAACAUUUAAUCUAGGAAACCAGCAAAAAAAU